GUAGGUGGCAAGCGUUAUCCGGAGUUAUUGGGCGUAAAGCGCGCGCAGGUGGUUUCUUAAGUCUGAUGUGAAAGCCCACGGCUCAACCGUGGAGGGUCAUUGGAAACUGGGAGACUUGAGUGCAGAAGAGGAAAGUGGAAUUCCAUGUGUAGCGGUGAAAUGCGUAGAGAUAUGGAGGAACACCAGAGGCGAAGGCGACUUUCUGGUCUGUAACUGACACUGAGGCGCGAAAGCGUGGGGAGCAAACAGGAUUAGAUACCCUGGUAGUCCACGCCGUAAACGAUGAGUGCUAAGUGUUAGAGGGUUUCCGCCCUUUAGUGCUGAAGUUAACGCAUUAAGCACUCCGCCUGGGGAGUACGGCCGCAAGGCUG
rnacentral:rRNA from 1 species